rnacentral:misc_RNA from 1 species
GCCGAUUGUCUGAAGUUUCCGUUCACAACUCCAUCAGUCCAUUAGCUUUGAAUUUCAAAUCCAGAGACACUGAGCCAGCAUUGAUGAGUUUGAUGACUGAUGAGAUACACCAAAGUCGAGAACUGAGUCUCAAUAAUUUUUCCCCACAUCUUUGAACCACAUAACUAAUUGAGCAAAAGCUGCAACAAAUAUUGACAACCAGUGUGGUUUGAACGUUUGGUGGGUUGCCUAUCUUCUUUUUCCAUGGCCAACUUGAUUCGCGCUAAUUUGGACAAUGAAAUGGUCAAAGCUGUUGCUGCAGUUGUCUUCAAGGGGCACUGGGACAAUCUUUUGAAGCCCAAGAUUGGU